AACACAACAAAAUGUGGAAAAAGUCAAGAGGUAUGAAUAAUCUGGAGGCACUGUAUGAAGUGCUUUGAAAGACUGGUCAUGACACACAUCAACACCGUCAUCACAGUCCCACUCCAAUUAACAUACUGCCCCAACAGAUCCACAGAUGUCACAAUCUCAUUUGCAAUUCACACUGACCUGUCUCACCUGGACAAGAAUGCUACAGUUUAGGGUUCAACACCAUAGUCCCCUCCAAGCUCAUCACCAAUGUAGGGACCCUGGGACUGAACCCCUCCCUCUGCAACUGGAUCCUGGACUUCCUGACAGGCCGGCCACAUGUGAUGAGGGUGACAGUGGAAGGAGAAAUGUUCUUCAACAGCCUGUAGAACUGCAAGAAAACCAGUAUCUGGUGCAAGAUGUUGACUGUUCAACCCAGAGCAGGAGACCCACAUUGUAAAUACGGUCAUUGCAAAUAACGAUCUCGGAGAACUGCAGGACCACAUAAUGGCAGAUAACACCAUAUUCCAAACGUCGACAGAGUGAGUCUCUCUGCAAUGUCUCAUCUACUGAAACGCAAUAGAAUGAGGAUGAAGCAGCUGUACAGAGUCC